rfam:Daedalea quercina L-15889 unplaced genomic scaffold DAEQTscaffold_8, whole genome shotgun sequence.
GGACCCCUAGCUCAGCUGGUAGAGCAUCUGAUUCCAGCUUCCUGCCUCCAGAAGGUCGUCCGUUCAAAUCGGGCGGGGUUCA